AGUCGUUUGUUAGCUUGAUUAGCCAGCCGCGGUGACGUCGCUAGCUAGGCUAACCGUUUCUCUUAAUUAAAGGACAUUCAUUUGUAAAUUCGUCAAAAUACCAAACUCAAGCUAAUUACAUUUUUGCUGAUUUCCCUCCGCGGGGGUUCGACAUUAACUUGUACAAAAUAAAUGCACACAAAGGCUUGUUAGCUACAAUAAUUAGCCGGCUAGCUAGCUAUGCUGUAAAUAGUUAGCAUACCGGUCGUUGUUAGCCCCAGAAGACCACCGCUGCACGCUCACCAGGACAGAUCUAAAAGCUUUUGAGAGAAGAUUAACAGAAUACGUCUCCUGUUUGCAACCUGCAACUGGGAGGUGGCGAAUGAUUCUAAUAGUGGUCUCUGUUUGUACUGCAACUGGAGCCUGGAACUGGUUGAUAGACCCUGACACACAGAAGGUGUCUUUCUUCUCAUCGUUGUGGAACCAUCCGUUCUUCACCAUCAGCUGCAUCACUUUGAUCGCUCUGUUCUUUGCUGGAAUACACAAACGAGUUGUUGCACCAUCAAUUAUUGCAGCUCGCUGUCGGACAGUUUUAGCGGAAUACAACAUGUCCUGCGAUGAUACGGGGAAACUAAUUCUCAAACCACGGCCACACAUCCAAUAACCACAAACUUGGAGAGGUGGGGAAAUAAAAUGUUCUUAAUGACUAUGUUGAUUCCCACUGAAAGACAGACUGACACAAGGACCAGAAUCCUGUUUGGAGGAUCUGAAACAAUGUAAGAAGGAUGGAGAUUGGGGAAAUACAGAGGGGUGAUUAUGUUGUGCUCCAUUAUGUAUUAAUGAAGGAUUGUGAGGGGAGAGGACAUCAAACGCCUUUUUAACAGCAUCUCAGUCAGUGUUAUGGUUUCCCUUAAAGCUGCUUCUGGGCUCACACACCCUUUGACAUAACUCAUUCGCUAUGAGUUCAGAUGUGUUUAUUUCUAAUGAUGACAUGCAUUUGUUUUAGAUAAAUCUUUCUAUUUUUAAACGAAUUGUUAUAUACUUAAUAAAUACUUGUAUGAAAUG